rnacentral:rRNA from 1 species
CAGUCGCGCGGGAAUACGUAGGGUGCGAGCGUUAAUCGGAAUUACUGGGCGUAAAGCGUGCGCAGGCGGUUGUGUAAGACAGGUGUGAAAUCCCCGGGCUUAACCUGGGAACUGCGCUUGUGACUGCACAGCUAGAGUAUGGCAGAGGGGGGUGGAAUUCCACGUGUAGCAGUGAAAUGCGUAGAGAUGUGGAGGAACACCGAUGGCGAAGGCAGCCCCCUGGGCCAAUACUGACGCUCAUGCACGAAAGCGUGGGGAGCAAACAGGAUUAGAUACCCGAGUAGUCCCUGUCUCUUAUACA